GAUACCCUAUUAUACUAAAAAGAAAUACUUUAAAACUGGAUUAUUAAUAGUUAUGUUCUUUAAAUUUGAAUAAUUUGGCGGUAGUUUAGUCUUGUCAGAGGAACCUGUUUUUUAAGCGAUAAACCACGUAGUAUUUUACUUGUUUUUGUUUUCAGUUUGUAUACCGUCAUUGGCAGAUAAUUUUUAGAGAAAAAAUUAUUGCAUUUAAUAGUUUAAUAAAAUUAGAUCAAGGUGCAGCUUAUAAACAAGUUAAAAUGGGUUACAAUAAAAUUUAUUUAUAAUGGAUAAUAAGAAGAAUUUUUUUUUAAAAGGAGGAUUUGAUUGUAAUGUGCGUUUAAUAUGCUUGGAUGAUAUUAGCUCUAAAUUAUGUACAU
rnacentral:rRNA from 1 species